GGCAGGAAGGUCUUGUGGUUAAGGCACUGGCCUGGGAGCCAGGCAAUCUGGGUUCAAUUUCCAGUUCUGUUA
rnacentral:tRNA from 1 species